CCAGCCCUGACCCUUAGGUCUUAGGAAGAACACUCAGCCAUUAGACCUCAGGCCCCAUGCCCUGACCCCAGGCAGAAAGCCAUGUCCUGCAUCCAGGGAUCCAGAAGAGUCCAAAGAACAUAGAAGGAAUGCUGAUCACAGCUCCGGAUCUAGAGGAACAAUGACUAUAAUUAGCUUCAUCUGCCCGUCAAGCAAGGAAUGUCUCUGAAGCCAUGUGCUGAUGACCAGGCAGAGAGGCUGGCAGAGAGCUGGGAUGGAAGUGCUGUCACUGUCACUGGCCAAUGACAAGACCCAAGAGAGGAGUGGUUGCAUAGCACAUCUGGGCAGGCCAGACCACUGGCGGGCGUCCCUGCCAAAUUCCACAGCCACCUCACACCUCCAGGAGCCUCAGAAGACUCCCAGGCCAGAAGGACCAUCCGGGGAGGAACAGCGCAAUUCUCAGUGCAGCCUUCAUGGACUGGCAGGCCCGAUACUCCGCCGAGGAGCAUCCAUCUAUUUGGAGAAGAAUGAGCCAAAGCUUUAUAAAAAAAAAUCCAUGAAAGGUCCAGCUCAAGAACUGG
rnacentral:lncRNA from 1 species